GACGAACGCUGGCGGCGUGCUUAACACAUGCAAGUCGAACGGAAAGGCCCUGCUUUUGUGGGGUGCUCGAGUGGCGAACGGGUGAGUAACACGUGAGUAACCUGCCCUUGACUUUGGGAUAACUUCAGGAAACUGGGGCUAAUACCGGAUAGGAGCUCCUGCUGCAUGGUGGGGGUUGGAAAGUUUCGGCGGUUGGGGAUGGACUCGCGGCUUAUCAGCUUGUUGGUGGGGUAGGGGCUUACCAAGGCUUUGACGGGUAGCCGGCCUGAGAGGGUGACCGGCCACAUUGGGACUGCGAUAGGGCCCAGACUCCUACGGGAGGCAGCGGUGGGGAGUAUUGCACAAUGGGCGGAAGCCUGAUGCAGCAGCGCCGCGUGCGGGAUGACGGCCUUCGGGUUAUAAACCGCUUUCGCCUGUGACGAAGCGUGAGUGACGGUAAUGGGUAAAGAAGCACCGGCUAACUACGUG
rnacentral:rRNA from 1 species